rnacentral:rRNA from 1 species
GACAGAGGUGCCAAGCGUUAGGCGGAAUCACUGGGCUUAAAGCGUGUGUAGGCGGAUGCCUAAGUACCUUGUGAAAUCCCACGGCUCAACCGUGGAACUGCUUGGUAUACUGGGUGUCUUGAGCCACUUAGGGGUUACCGGAACAAACGGUGGAGCGGUGAAAUGCGUAGAUAUCGUUUGGAACGCCAAUGGUGAAAACAGGUAACUGGGAGUGCGCUGACGCUGAGACACGAAAGCCAGGGGAGCAAACGGG